UGGGGAAUUUUGGGCAAUGGGCGAAAGCCUGACCCAGCAACGCCGCGUGAAGGAUGAAGUAUUUCGGUAUGUAAACUUCGAAAGAAUAGGAAGAAUAAAUGACGGUACUAUUUAUAAGGUCCGGCUAACUACGUGCCAGCAGCCGCGGUAAUACGUAGGGACCAAGCGUUGUUCGGAUUUACUGGGCGUAAAGGGCGCGUAGGCGGCAAUUCAAGUCAUCUGUGAAAUCUCCGGGCUUAACUCGGAACGGUCAGAUGAUACUGCUUUGCCAGAGUGCAGAAGGGGCAAUCGGAAUUCUUGGUGUAGCGGUGAAAUGCGUAGAUAUCAAGAGGAACACCUGAGGUGAAGACGGGUUGCUGGGCUGACACUGACGCUGAGGCGCGAAAGCCAGGGGAGCAAACGGGAUUAGAUACCCCUGUAGUCCCUGAGCGGGCUGGCAAGGCGCAU
rnacentral:rRNA from 1 species